AGGUAGCAGAGCUUAAGUACACGUAUCCUGGAAACCAAAUAAAUGCUGCAUUAUUUUAACAAAGGAGACAGGAUGUAACACUCAACAAUGGAAGGCAUGACAACUCAGGGGUAGCUUGUGUGGGGCAUAGCUGAUGUCAACAUUCCAGAUCAGAACACUGGCUCAUUUCCUUAGCUCUGUCCCUAUUUAUAGUCAGAAACCUGUUGAAAGGCAAGAGGCUCCCUGGUAGAAAGGCUGCAGAUUAUAGCAUAUCACUUUCCUGAAGUCACCCAAAAAAUCAGUUCGCCUACUCAACUAUUCAGCAGACCUGAGCUUCAACAGCCUCUCCUCCUCCCAAACUAAGAAUCUGAAGCAGCUUAAGGAGACAGGAUGAAUCCUUAAUGGCAAGGUAUCAGUUUUAUGAUGAGCUCCUCAAUGAGGCCUAAUGGAUAGAGUAUCAGGCAUGUCACCCCAAUACAGAAGAUCUUGGCAAAGCGGGAACUGAAAAGAAUCUGAGCACGGAGACACAGAGGUAGUGUUGACUGAGCUAUGAUGUUGCACCUGGGGAAGAUCUGGGGAAAACUAAGGACAUGUGCAAUUAGGAAUGGUGACAUUCAGCAGAAAGAAUGAAUUUGAAAGCUUUGGGGUACAUUUCACAACAGGUAUUGGCUGAACCUCUGUCCCUGUUGGGAAGUAAAAGAUGUGAGAAGUUCAAAGACUUAAAUGAUUCUUCCUAAGCAUGAAUGACUUUAAUAAAGAUGGAAGUGAGAACAUUUUAAUUUUAAAACUAUUGACUAAUCAGGCUUGUAACUACAAUGAUAAAUAAAAAUCUAAUUUAUUUAAUUUGCUAAUUGUUAUUUUUCUACUCUGGAUAUUAGUUGAUUUGGGGGGACUUUAGAAGUGGAAAACAUUCUUUAAACACACAAGGUAUUAUUUGGGAAUAACUCAGGCACUUGUGGAAGCUGGAAUUUCUUCCAGGUCACAGCUUUUUACUUGGGAGAAUUAGACUCAGUGUUUUUGGAAAGUACCAAAAAAAAAUGCUAAACUUAAGCUAUCAUUCUAUAUUUAUCUGCUCAUGGCUUAAAAAAAAAAACCCCAAACCAUAUUGGAUAGUUCAAAGUCUUGAAUAAAUUGAAAAAGAUAAGUUACAACAUGCUUUCAUGCUGUUUCUUCUCUACAAUAAAACACAAAAAUAAUGUAUUGUCAAAACCAAGAUGCUCUGUUUUAAGCUAGUUUAUUUCUUUUAAACUGGAUGUUUUCUCUUUUCAUACAGGCAGGUAUCUGCCUAUAAAUUGCCCUGGCUGAUUAUCUCAUUGAAUUUUAAAAUAAAUAUUAAUUUGUAGACCGGAAUAUAAUUGAGGUUAGCCAAGUUUACUUCAAACAAAGUUUGGCUUCUAAAUUAGACAGCUUUUUCAAAGGCAGUUAUUUUGGCAAACCACAUCUUUUAGAACUUCUCAUCCUCAAGUGGCUAUAACCUCCCCAUGGAAUAAAAAAAACUACCCCUUUCAAUUUCAUUCAUCUGUAAAAUUAAAGCUAACAUAAUUGACGUCAUAUUCUGGAAAACUGUAUACAAAAUACUUUGGGGCCAUAAGUUGCUUCUAAAAACACAAAAGAUGUCAUGCAGAUAACAACAUUUACUCUUCUAAAUAAAAAUAAACCUAAUGUCAGGCCAAGAAAUUAAAAUUGGAAAUAAAAAAAUGUUUUCACAUACUAGUAUCAAGCAAGUUGUCACUGGGGCCAAUUCAGCCAAUACUGGGUCUAUAUUCACAAAACUGCCUUUUAAAAAUUUGUAUUGGUCCCCCUCAGAAAUUGGAUCUGGUCAUUUGAUCUCAGAUCUAGCUCAAUAUUUAUGGAGCUUUCUUAGUCUUUCAUUUUGUGGUAGAGUGGGCAAGAUUUCAUGCUGAAGUUAUCUAUAAAGCACUGUAACUUGGACAGAAAGAAAAGAACACAGAGUGUAUGUAGAUUCAGCAGUUAAUGCAUUUAAAGCACCAUCCAUGGUAGAAGAGAAAUAUCAUAGAAAACAAGCUUAGGUUGGAAACACUAUUUGAGAAAUAUGGUCACUUGAGAGAGAUUCUUUAAAAUAAUCCCUUUGUUAAAAUGUCAGAAAACAGCCAUGAAAAAAACACACACAUGUCUUAAUAGAAAAAUUUACUUUUCUCUUUUUGAGAGAAUAGAAACUAGAUCAUGUUUCUGUCGUCUGCCUCCUUCAAGUCUGGAGAUAAGUCAAUAUGUAAAACAAUGUUUGUUUCAUGUUCUUAGAAAAUUUUUUUAAAAUGGCAGCUUUUAUACACAGAGAUCAUCAGCUGUGAUGGACAGUUCCUGACAGGUUAUGGAAUGAGUAUCUAAAUUUCAUUUUGGUUGAACGAUGGAUUCUUUUCAUUGUCCAGUUCAUUUCAGUUUUCACUGAAGGAAAUAUGUAGCUGCACAAUACUGUAAUCUGGAAGCUUAAGUCAGGUUAAAAGAGGAUGAAGCAUCACCCUCUAUCCCUAACACCUAGGUAUAACCAACAGCAUUUUAUCACUCAUGACCUAAAAAUGGAGGCUCAUGUUAAAAAGAUUCAUAAAAAGUCUUGGGGACAGGUUAGGACUAUAUUUUAGAAACAUGCCACAGAAUUAAAAAAAAAACCCUAACAAAUAUUCUAUUUCAGGGAAAGGACUUAAGGCUACUACAUAUAAGUGGCUAACUGAACAGCAGACUUCAACAAAGCAGUAUAAAUUUGAGUCAGUUUUUCAGACCCACAUCAAAGUGUGUGUGUGUGUGUGUGUGUGUGUGUGUGUG